ACGGCCACUUUUCGACAAAAAGGUAUGUCCAUAAAUUGAAUGUUUUAUUUUUAACACUAUUAGAAACUCUAAUCUAGCAUUUUUGAAUUUUAACCUUUUGUUUUUCCUAUCCUUUUAUCUCAUUUCAAUUAUGUGAGAGUGUAUUUUUCUUUUGUGACUUCCUUUACAGUAAAAUAAAGUAUAAAAAAUUGUUUAAGAUCAGACUAUUGACAAGUUGGCGCCUGUAUCUUUGUGUUUAAAUUAAUCUUUCUUGGCCUAUGCCUUAUGACUAUGAGCCAUUUAAAUUGGCAAUGUUUAAUUCUGCUUUUUACGUAUAAUUGCAUGUUAUAGAAUUUAAGGAUACGUCCCUAUAGAAUUUCUUGAUUAAAGGAAAACAAUUUUUACAAAAUGAAGCAUUUUAUGUGCAGGU
rnacentral:misc_RNA from 1 species